GACGAACGCUGGCGGCGUGCUUAACACAUGCAAGUCGAGCGGAAAGGCCCUUUCGGGGGUACUCGAGCGGCGAACGGGUGAGUAACACGUGAGUAAUCUGCCCCUGGCUUUGGGAUAGCCACCGGAAACGGUGAUUAAUACCGGAUACGACCACUUCUCGCAUGGGAUGGUGGUGGAAAGUUUCUCGGCCAGGGAUGUGCUCGCGGCCUAUCCGCUUGAUGGUGAGGUAAUGGCUCACCAUGGCUUCGACGGGUAGCCGGCCUGAGAGGGUGACCGGUCACACUGGGACUGAGACACGGCCCAGACUCCUACGGGAGGCAGCAGUGGGGAAUAUUGGACAAUGGGCGGAAGCCUGAUCCAGCAACGCCGCGUGAGGGAUGACGGCCUUCGGGUUGUAAACCUCUUUCAGCAGGGACGAAGCGCAAGUGACGGUACCUGCAGAAGAAGCACCGGCCAACUACGUGCCAGCAGCCGCGGUAA
rnacentral:rRNA from 1 species